rnacentral:lncRNA from 1 species
AAAGAUAGAUGUAGAAGACUAUUUGCUAUGAUAUUUUUUAUGUUUUAUUGUAAAUGUACAAAAAUGAAAUUAGAACUACUGUGGCCAAUGAAGAAAUGAAAAUAGGGGGGAGUUAGAGUUGCUUUGUUCAUAGUCGCAUUUUGUUGACCUUAUUGGUUGUUGUUUUGAGUGUUGUUGUGAAUUGUAAUGCAAAUUCAAUUACAGAAAUGCAAUUCAGUUUCCGUUUCUUUAAUUUGCUCCUUCCCUUCUGUCUCUUCUAUUUUCUCUUGCCAAUCAAUAGUUAGGUUGAUCUUAACAAAAGGUUGUGUUACGUUUAUCAUGUACAUGUUAAUCUGCAACUGUAUUUUUCUCAGCUUUUAUAUUGAGUUGGUUCAAAUUCAUCAUUUAUUGGCGAGCAACAUCAGGAAUCAUCUGGCGACACUAUCAAUUUCUGAAAAUAGAAAAGCAAGCUUGCAAUUGUCGGUAAGCAUUUCAAUAGGCAUCAGAACAAAAUAGUUUACCCGUGCAAUUUCAAAGAGGCUGGUCCAGUGGAGACAAGAAGUAUCAAUUGGACUCUUCAUAGAAGGUUUGGCUUGAAGAAAAGGAUACUAUUAAAAGCUUGUCUGAUGACUCAGAUAUCAAUCACAUUUGACUAUAUACAGAACUAGAGAUACGGAGAUAUUUACAGAACUAGAUAUGCGGAUACAGUUUUGAUCUCCCAAAUUCAAGAUCUUUUCUGCAAGUUGAAUGGAGACAUUCAUCAACUAAAACGGAGAAAAGGAACUUCACAAGAAGUGGCUACAGAGUAAAUUGGGCUUCAAGUCUGUUCUCACCCCUGCAGAGUUUGAAUGGAGGAUCUUAUCCAAAGUUGAAACAGCUUUGGUGAUGUGUUUCCCUUUGUUCAGCAUGACACAACUUGCUCUGUUAAGACGAAAAGGAAUCCUCAAUUCGUACUUUUGGAAAUAAAGAAAGAAAAAGCAUGAAAUUUGAAUUUAUAUUAAUGGCAUGAUCAGGGCAUGCGGAAUAUUUUACCUCCUUCCACUGGCUGCAUCAAUGAUCUCUGCUCGGGUGGGCACACCAGACUUCACAAGGGACUCUAAGACCUGAGUUGCCAAAAUGACAGGUACUUGAGCAGCAUCACAAAGAGAGAGAAUUUCUUCUUGCAUAUCAGCCAACCUUUCCCAGCCACAUUCCACUGCAAGAUCUCCUCUAGCAAUCAUCACUCCAAAGGGAUUUGAGGACUUCAUUGCCUCCAAUAACACCAAAGGCAAUUUCUCAAACCCACUCUUUGUCUCAAUCUUUAAAAUAACACCAAGGUUUUGAAGUUUCCGAUUUUCCAAUUCUUUGCGCAGCACAACAAUAUCAUGGGUGUCUCGGACAAAAGAAAUGCCUACCAUGUCAGAAUGAGUAGCAACAAACUCGAGGUCCACAAGAUCCUUUGAAGUAAGUCCUUCAAACCGAACAUUGCUAUCAGGAAUAUUAAAUGCUAUCCUUGCUAAUGGAUCAUUAAUGGCUGAGCUCCAUAUUUUAGGAAUUAAUGGUGACCUGGGGUAGUGAACUUGAUGAACUGAUUGUUGUGAAUAUAAUUGGGAUUUGUGAGAAUUUUGUAGUAUGUUGUUAUUGAAGAUCACUCUAAUAUUUCAGGUUCUUUUCCUAUUACCCUAAACCAACCAUUUUAUUGGCCAAAUACAUUUCAUGGAAGAAGGAAUUAAGAUAACGAAUUACUGUCUGAAUUGAAUUUCAAUUCCUCUCUCUAGAUUUUUAAUUUAUCUUCACUUCCUGGAUGUAUUUUUUGAAGGUACCAAUGUUUGAAAAGAUGGAUGAACAACUAUUAGAUGCUAUGUGUGACCGGCUCAAGCCAACACUCUAUACCAAAGAAAGUUACAUUGUUCGGGAAGGCGAUCCAGUUGACGAGAUGCUCUUCAUUAUGCGAGGCAAGCUUUUAACCAUGACCACCAAUGGCGGAAGAACUGGCUUCUUCAACUCUGAAUACCUGAAGGCUGGUGACUUUUGUGGAGAGGAAUUGCUUACAUGGGCCCUAGAUCCCCAUUCCUCAUCCAACCUUCCUAUCUCAACCAGAACCGUUCGAACCAUUACUGAAGUUGAAGCAUUUGCUCUAAUGGCUGAUGACUUGAAAUUUGUUGCUUCUCAAUUCCGGCGGCUUCACAGUAAGCAACUCCGCCACACUUUCAGGUUUUACUCGCAACAAUGGAGGACAUGGGCAGCCUGCUUUAUACAAGCUGCAUGGCGUCGAUAUAAUAAAAAGAAGCUGGAAGAAUCUCUGCAACAAGAGGAGGAUAGGUUGCAAGAUGCAUUGGCCAAGACAACUGGGAACUCACCGAGUUUAGGUGCCACCAUAUAUGCCUCACGAUUUGCUGCUAAUGCACUUCGUGCUCUACGGCGUACUGGUACUCGCAAGACAAGGUUGUUGGAGAGGGUUCCGCCCAUUUUGCUUCAGAAGCCUGCAGAACCUGAUUUUACAACUGGAGAAAGAUAGAUGUAGAAGACUAUUUGCUAUGAUAUUUUUUAUGUUUUAUUGUAAAUGUACAAAAAUGAAAUUAGAACUACUGUGGCCAAUGAAGAAAUGAAAAUAGGGGGGAGUUAGAGUUGCUUUGUUCAUAGUCGCAUUUUGUUGACCUUAUUGGUUGUUGUUUUGAGUGUUGUUGUGAAUUGUAAUGCAAAUUCAAUUACAGAAAUGCAAUUCAGUUUCCGUUUCUUUAAUUUGCUCCUUCCCUUCUGUCUCUUCUAUUUUCUCUUGCCAAUCAAUAGUUAGGUUGAUCUUAA